rnacentral:rRNA from 1 species
GACGAACGCUGGCGGCGUGCCUAAUACAUGCAAGUCGAACGGUCUUUUCUAUGGAAGCUUGCUUCCACUGAGAAGAUAGUGGCGAACGGGUGGGUAACACGUGGGUAACCUGCCCAUAAGAGGGGGAUAACAUCCGGAAACGGGUGCUAAUACCGCAUAGUUUUCUUGAUUGCAUGUUCGAGAAAGGAAAGACGGCCUUUGUGCUGUCGCUUAUGGAUGGACCCGCGGCGUAUUAGUUAGUUGGUGAGGUAACGGCUCACCAAGACGAUGAUACGUAGCCGAACUGAGAGGGUGAUCGGCCACAUUGGGACUGAGACACGGCCCAAACUCCUACGGGGGGCAGCAGUAGGGAAUCUUCCGCAAUGGACGAAAGUCUGACGGAGCAACGCCGCGUGAGUGAAGAAGGUUUUCGGAUCGUAAAACUCUGUUGUCAGAGAAGAACAAGUUGGAGAGUAACUGCUCCAGCCUUGACGGUAUCUGACCAGAAAGCCACGGCUAACUACGUGCCAGCCGCCGCGGUAAUAC